UACGAAGGUCCCAAGCGUUAUCCGGAUUUAUUGGGUUUAAAGGGUGCGUAGGCGGGCUAUUAAGUCAGUGGUGAAAGCCCCAAGCUUAACUUGGGAACUGCCAUUGAUACUGAUGGUCUUGAGUACAUUUGAGGUGGGCGGAAUGUGUCAUGUAGCGGUGAAAUGCUUAGAUAUGACACAGAACACCGAUUGCGAAGGCAGCUCACUAAACUGUAACUGACGCUGAGGCACGAAAGCGUGGGUAGCAAACAGG
rnacentral:rRNA from 1 species